CUCUUACGAUGGUGCCAACAGCUCUCCAGAUUUAUCUGCUAACACUACAAGAUAGUGCAGGACCAUCAGUUGUGUGGCUGGAGAAGGGAUUGAGUGAGUGAGU